GUCUCCAGCGCCUAGUCGUUGGGUAUACGGCGCGAUGUACAGAGCCGCGACACGCGACACGCAACCAGCAGCAGCAGCAGCAGCAGCAGUAGCAGCAGCAGCAAAAGUUGUGGCAGCAGCAACAGCAACACUUGCAACACUUGCAACAGCAGCAGCAACAGCAGCCGGAAGACCAAACGACCAUUGAGCCGCCCUUUUAAGCCGUUGCUCGCGACGCGAAACCAAUUUGAAACCUAACAAAAUCUGAAAAUAAUACACCCCCUUUCUAACUUCAACACAAGCAAAAAAGAAAAAAAGUCCUUCGGCCAAGCAACUUGCCUACUUUGAGGCGGAAGGAGCGUAACGAAUCACACCCCUAAUACCCCGCCAAAUGAGCUGGAAAUGUCCAAGUGGCCGGCGGCGAUGGUGGAUGGGCCAUCAAGAAAGCAGCAACAGCAACAGCAACAGCAGCGGCAGCAAAUAAGCCAAAUUAGCGAGUUCCCGGCCAGAAGCGGGCACAUCUCAAUCUCAGCCGAGAAACAAUGCCCUGAAAGAAAGCCAUUCAAGUCGCCCAAGUAAUCGGCAAAUAAUCGAGUAUUCGCAUCGUUUCGUUACGUUAAGUUACGUUUCUUUCGGUUUGGGUUUCGGUUUCGGUUUCGGUUCCGCGAGUGCUAUCACUUCCGUUUCCGCCUGUGUCGGUGUGUGUUUGUGUCUUUAUCUCCAUCUAAUCUGUAGCUGAAUCUGAUUCCGUAUCUGUAUCUGUAUCUGUAUCUGAAUCUGUGUGUGAGCAGUUGGCGAGAUACGUAUAUCAAAUCUUGAUUUUUUUUUUGUUUUUUUUUUACCCCCCACUUGCAAAGAUCGUUAAAGAGUUGGGAAACUAAACUAAAUACUAAACAGAAGCGCAGAGCAUGCGAAUCAAGUCGGAUAA